AAAAGCUGAUCUGCUCUGGGUAAGUCGGGGCCUAAGGCCAGGUCGAAAGACGUAACCGAUGGACAACAGGUUGAAAUUCCUGUACCUUAAGUAAACAGAACUGUGGGGACACGUGUGGAGAGCACAAGCCGGAAAUGGAAAAGCCGGUGCAAGCGAGGUAGGAGAUGAACAGGCAAAUCCGUUCAUCAAUCCGAAGACGUGAUGCGGACCGAAUUAAGAGUAGGGAAGUGUGUGAGCCAUGCGUCAAGAAAAGCCGCUAUUGUUUUACUUAAGCCCGUACCGUAAACCGACACAGGUGGAUGAGGAGAGAAUCCUAAGGCCGACGGGAGAAGCAUUGUUAAGGAACUCGGCAAAAUGACUCCGUAACUUCGGGAGAAGGAGUGCCAGCGAGAGCUGGCCGCAGAGAAUUGGCCCAAGCAACUGUUUAGCAAAAACACAGGUCUAUGCAAAACCGUAAGGUGAAGUAUAUGGGCUGACGCCUGCCCGGUGCUGGAAGGUUAAGAGGAGAGGUUAGCGGUAACGCGAAGCUUUGAAUUUAAGCCCCAGUAAACGGCGGCCGUAACAAUAACGGUCCUAAGGUAGCGAAAUUCCUUGUCGGGUAAGUUCCGACCCGCACGAAAGGCGUAGUGAUUUGGGCACUGUCUCAACAAUGCACCCGGUGAAAUUGAAAUACCAGUGAAGAUGCUGGUUACCUGCGCCAGGACGGAAAGACCCCAUGGAGCUUUACUCCAGCUUGAUACUGGGAUUCGGUAUUGCAUGUACAGGAUAGGUGGGAGGCUAGGAAGUGAUAACGCCAAUUGUCACGGAGCCGCUGUUGGGAUACCACCCUUGCAGUAUUGGAUUUCUAACCAGCGACCAUGAACUGGUCGGGGGACAAUGUCAGGUGGGGAGUUUGACUGGGGCGGUCGCCUCCGAAAGGGUAUCGGAGGCGCUCAAAGGUUCCCUCAGAAUGGACGGAAACCAUUCGAAGAGUGCAAAGGCAGAAGGGAGCUUGACUGCGACACCGACGGGUGGAGCAGGUACGAAAGUAGGACUUAGUGAUCCGGUGGUAUAAAGUGGGAUUGCCAUCGCUCAACGGAUAAAAGCUACCCUGGGAUAACAGGCUUAUCACUCCCAAGAGUUCACAUCGACGGAGUGGUUUGGCACCUCGAUGUCGGCUCAUCGCAUCCUGGGGCUGAAGUAGGUCCCAAGGGUUGGGCUGUUCGCCCAUUAAAGCGGUACGCGAGCUGGGUUCAGAACGUCGUGAGACAGUUCGGUCCCUAUCCGGCGUGGGCGUAGGAUAUUUGAGAGGAGCUGUCCUUAGUACGAGAGGACCGGGAUGGACUGGCCGCUGGUGUAUCUGUUGCAUACCAAAUGCAUGGCAGAGUAGCCAAGCCGGGACGGGAUAAACGCUGAAGGCAUCUAAGCGUGAAGCCCCCCUCAAGAUGAGAUAUCCCUACGUAAGUAGUAAGACCCCUUGAAGACGACGAGGUAGAUAGGUCAGAGGUGGAAGUACAGUAAUGUAUGGAGCUGACUGAUACUAAUCGGUCGAGGGCAUGACC
rnacentral:rRNA from 1 species